rnacentral:rRNA from 1 species
UGGAGAGUUUGAUCCUGGCUCAGAUUGAACGCUGGCGGCAGGCCUAACACAUGCAAGUCGAACGGUAACAGGAAGCAGCUUGCUGCUUUGCUGACGAGUGGCGGACGGGUGAGUAAUGUCUGGGAAACUGCCUGAUGGAGGGGGAUAACUACUGGAAACGGUAGCUAAUACCGCAUAACGUCGCAAGACCAAAGAGGGGGACCUUCGGGCCUCUUGCCAUCAGAUGUGCCCAGAUGGGAUUAGCUAGUAGGUGGGGUAACGGCUCACCUAGGCGACGAUCCCUAGCUGGUCUGAGAGGAUGACCAGCCACACUGGAACUGAGACACGGUCCAGACUCCUACGGGAGGCAGCAGUGGGGAAUAUUGCACAAUGGGCGCAAGCCUGAUGCAGCCAUGCCGCGUGUAUGAAGAAGGCCUUCGGGUUGUAAAGUACUUUCAGCGGGGAGGAAGGCGUUGUGGUUAAUAACCGUGUCGAUUGACGUUACCCGCAGAAGAAGCACCGGCUAACUCCGUGCCAGCAGCCGCGGUA